CUGUGCGUGGGCGGUGGCCUGGCCGUCGGGCUCGCGACGCGGCUCCCCGCCGGCGGGCUGCUCGGCCCGCUGGUCGCCUCCGCCGCACUGUC
rnacentral:tRNA from 1 species